CGGGUGCACUGAUCCGGCCGGGCCUUUCCCUCUGUGGAACCCCAUGGCCUUCACUGGCUGUGCGGGGGAAACAGGACUUUUACUGUGAAAAAAUUAGAGUGCUCCAGGCAGGCCUAUGCUCGAAUACAUUAGCAUGGAAUAAUAGAAUAGGACGCGUGGUUCUAUUUUGUUGGUUUCUAGGACCGCCGUAAUGAUUAAUAGGGACAGUCGGGGGCAUCAGUAUUCAAUUGUCAGAGGUGAAAUUCUUGGAUCUAUUGAAGACUAACUACUGCGAAAGCAUUUGCCAAGGGUGUCUUCAUUGAUAAGGAACGAAAGUUAGGGGAUCGAAGACGAUCAGAUACCGUCGUAGUCUUAACUAUAAACUAUGCCGACUAGGGAUCGGACGAUGUUAUUUCUUGACGCGUUCGGCACCUUUCGAGAAAUCAAAGUGCUUGGGCUCCAGGGGGAGUAUGGUCGCAAGGCUGAAACUUAAAGAAAUUGACGGAAGGGCACCACCAGGGGUGGAACCUGCGGCUUAAUUUGACUCAACACGGGGAAACUCACCAGGUCCAGACACAGUGAGGAUUGACAGAUUGAGAGCUCUUUCUUGAUUCUGUGGGUGGUGGUGCAUGGGCCGUUCUUAGUUGGUGGAGUGAUUUGUCUGCUUAAUUGCGAUAACGAACGAGACCUUAACCUGCUAAAUAGCCCGUACUGCUCUGGCAGUUCGCCGGCUUCUUAGAGGGACUAUCGG
rnacentral:rRNA from 1 species